CAGAUUAGAGCUUGAUUAGAAAGUUUUUUAUUUACAUUAAAAAGUUAUCGUGCAAUUCGAUAUAAUUUGA
rnacentral:tRNA from 1 species